AGUAUCGCGAGAUCAGGAAGGUGGCCGAGUGUGUCGCCGCGGCCAUCAGGGGGGUUAUAGCCAUGUGACUGAUCUUCGUCCAAGAAUAUGUAAAGAAAAAGUGUUGAGUUGGCUUUUAGGGCUAGAGCAAUGUAUCUUAGGCUCACUUAAGGAAGCUGUAGAGAUGAGCCCAAGGAGGGAAACCAGAAGAGCCCCCCAGGCUCACCAGUUGUUUGUUGGCUCCCUACAAACAUGUCAUUCAAGUGGCUAAUCUUACAACAGCACAAAUUCAUCUAACCAGAGAUACUCUAUUAUAGCAAAGAAGAAAGAUAAUUUCAUUGAGCCAUCCUGUUUUACAGUAUUGAAUUAUUACCACAAGGUACCAACCAUAUAUGCAUACUUAAUAGGGUAUUUUGUCAAAACUAUGCAUGAAGGUCAUUUGUUUGAGAUGUCAGAACAUUUUCCCGUGAGAAGAUCUCAUUGGGCAUUGAAACAGAACCACAUGCUCUUCAGACCAGCAACCGCGACUACCAAAUACUCCUCUGUCAACUCUACUUGAAAAAAAUCGUGGUGACACAAAAUCUUUCUUUUUAGCACCCAACAGAAUCCCUUCAAAGCCUCGUGGUCUGACACCCUAUGCUACGUGACUUGUGACCCAUCCAUUUGUCAUGUUCUUCGGGAAUGUGGCUAAGGGGCUAAGAUGUGACUUGAAAAGAAAGGUAGAACAAGAUCAUCUCAAAUUUAUUAUCAAGGAAUAGUUCAGAAAACGACUUCAGACCACAGAGACAGCAGAACAGAUGGUCCGGCAUGGAUAGAGCAUCAGACACUCACAGACUGUGCCAACAAGAGCCAUCGAGUCAAAACAGCCAAAGGAAGGAGGGUCAUGGAAUGGGUUCUCUCACACCAAACUGAUGCCCAGAGGCCCUCAGCAUGAAUAACAAAGGCAACCAGACCCACAAGCCAUACUGAGUGGAUACAAAACCUAUACCUAGGCUGACAUCCCAAAUGUGUGUGGCAAGUUAGAUGAUGAUGGCACAAAAGACAGAACACCUUGCUUCUGGCCAUUGUCAGCUCUUGGAAGAGAGCACACUUUUAGAGGAGCAGCUGCAAGGAGCCUGAGAACAAAACUGGAAAUGUCUGUUAUGAAAGCCUUCACAGGAAAUUCUGCAAGUGGCAACGUGGGUCCAUUCCGUGUGUGUCACUAGAGCUGGCGCAAGCCCAUGGCCAUGGUGAGGCAGCGUUUCCACUGGAACUAAUCUGAUACCUGCACCAGCUCUUGCAACUGUGCAGUGUUCCCACUGCAAACUACGGAUGGGGUAAAAGACUGCUCACCUCCUAUUUCUCAUCUAAUCUCACACACUCUGUUUGAUGAGGCUAUGGAGAAACAGGUCUUCUCAUACACUAAAGGUGGGAGUACAAACAAUUCAAGCCCUGUGCAGGACAAUUAGGCAAUACCUAUCAAAAUUAUACAUGAUUUUUCCUGCUGACCCAGCAAUUCCACUUCUGGGAAUAAUUGACAGAUAUAGGUGCAUAUGUACAAAAUGAUGGAAAGCUCUCUGGUAUAUAUUAGUAAGUGAUAAAACAAGGUGUAAAAUAGUGUAUAUAUGGCUACUACCUUUUGUUUUAAAAAUGGGGGAAAAUGGUGGAGCUUGCGGUGAGCCGAGAUCGUGCCACUGCACUCCAGCCUGGGCGACAGAGCGAGACUCCGUCUCAAAAAAAAAACAGGGUGGGGUGGGGGGGAAAUAAUAGUACAUACUCAUAUUUACCUGUAUCUAUAUAAAACACACUAUCAAGGAUUCACAAGAAACUAAUACAAAUGAUCACCUUAUAGAUGGUAUGUAUUGGGGGAUACUGAGGUGAGCAGGGUAUAAGUGGGGCAAGACUUUUCAGUGUAAACUUCUUUUAAAUUUUAUUUUGAUUUUUGAAUAAUGUAAAUUAACUGUCAAAUAAUUAAAUUAAAAAUAACCAAUUUAUUAACAAAA
rnacentral:lncRNA from 1 species